AUGGUGCAAGCCGGUUCCUGUUGCGCCAUCCACAUCCGGCUGAGAGCCGCUCGCUGCGUUUUGCCAGCC
rnacentral:sRNA from 1 species